UAGUGUGCAUCAAAUCGCAUGACUUUCUCAGAGUACUAAUACCUCCACCACAACAGGGCACCGCCUGAGUUUUAGGUGCACUACUCAAGUUCAAAAGUUUUUUUCUACAAUUUAUUAGAACCUGAUCCAUCAAAUUUUCAGAAUAUCACAUGUUGUCUAAAUUUGUCAAGAAUGGUUCUCAUGUAAAGAAAGAGCUAUCAAUCUCAACUAAACAACCCGGGUACACAGAGGUCCAAUACAAUGGAGUCAAACCAGCCAUUACCACAUGUCACUAG
rnacentral:lncRNA from 1 species